AUUGAACGCUGGCGGCAUGCUUUACACAUGCAAGUCGAACGGUAACAGGGUGCUUGCACCGCUGACGAGUGGCGAACGGGUGAGUAAUGCGUCGGAACGUGCCGAGUAGUGGGGGAUAACGCAGCGAAAGUUGUGCUAAUACCGCAUACGUACUGAGGUAGAAAGUGGGGGACCUUCGGGCCUCAGGCUAUUCGAGCGGCCGACGUCUGAUUAGCUAGUAGGUUAGGGAAAUGCUGACCUAGGCUACGAUCAUUGACGGAUCUGAGAGGUGGGUCCACCUCACUGGUACUGAGACACGGCCCAGACUCCUACGGGAGACAGCAGUGGGGAAUUUUGGACAAUGGGCUAAAGCCUGCUCCAGCCAUGCCGCGUGUCUGAAGAAGGCCUUCGGGUUGUAAAGGACUUUUGUCGGGGAGGAAAUCCCCAGCGUUAAUACCGCUGGGGGAUGACAGUACCUGAAGAAUAAGCACCGGCUAACUACGUGCCAGCCGCCGCCGUAACAC
rnacentral:rRNA from 1 species